rnacentral:rRNA from 1 species
UGCCAGCAGCCGCGGUAAUACGAAGGGUGCUAGCGUUGUUCGGAAUUACUGGGCGUAAAGGGCGCGUAGGCGGUUAGAUAAGUUAGAUGUGAAAGCCCAGGGCUUAACCUUGGAACUGCAUUUAAAACUGUUUAACUAGAGGGUAAGAGAGGAUGGCGGAAUUUCGAGUGUAGAGAUGGAAUUCGUAGAUAUUCGAAGGAACACCAGUGGCUAAGGCGGCCAUCUGGCUUAUACCUGACGCUGAGGCGCGAAAGCAUGGGGAGCAAACAGGAUUAGAUA